AGGAAUAAAACCCGGAAAUGUCCGGAAAAACCCAGAGUGUGUCACAUCGCUCCUACCUAACUAAUUUUCUAGACUCACAAACGUCGGGACGUUGGGACGUGAAAAGCCGAUAGCCGAGACGGAUUACGUACAGUUCCGUUGAUUGGGUGAGCUUAUGAAGCAAUAUUAUACAUUUAAAGCAAAAUCACACUACUUCCUGAAGUACAACUUACUCGCGUGUGCUUGAUUGGUUUUCCAAUUUUAUAAUUCAAACCCGAAACUAAAAAAGACAGGAAGAAAAUUAAUUGGAAUUCAACUGACACGGAUGUAAAGACCGGAAUAUUAUGUUGAGAUAAAACACCAAAUAACACGUAAACAGGAAAAAAAUAGUUUUCCCUGACAAAGAAGAAAACUUGAACAAUUGAUGAUAUGAUACGACACAAUUGGACAGGAAGAAAAUUCAUUCAAAUCCAACUGACAUGGAUGUAAAGACCGGAAGAUUAUGUUGAGAUGAUCAUAUGAUACGACACAAUUGGACGCGUUUGGCCAAUCCGAAAACAAUGGCGUAAAUAUUGAGCGAAGAUAUUUGGUAAACAAAAUAAUUAUGUCAGCAAUAUAUUUCGGCGUUUUACUAACAAUAUCCCGCUUAUAAAUCCGGUUGUGUACGCAAAUAUAAACACGUGUAAUGUUUCAAGACACUUCAUUUUUAUACUUUGUUAAUCAGUGCUUGCUAGUCUUCCUAAUGCUUCAUUUCUUAUCAAUGGCGUUGAUACCAUUUUUAAAAUGCUGUAAUACGUGUUAACCAUGUAACAAACAACCCAAAACGUUAUAACAUAAUACUACUGUUCUGAAUGGUUUGAUAUAAUGCAACCUUUGUGUCAUAAACGCCUCAUGAUAUUGUGAAUAACCAGGAUGACUGACCAAAAAGGUCAAAACACAAAAUGCAUUUGCAAAAUGUGAACUCCGUUUGCCUGAUGACAGGUUAUCAACAACUAUGCGGGUUUUGCAAGUCUAUUAUUUUAAUAAAAUACUUUUAAAUACUGUUGCUCACAAAGAUACAGGGCAGCGUAUACAUACAAGUCGUAUUUAAAGACGAAUGUGCUGUUCAUGUUCAACUUGGUUUGAAUAAAAAUAAGAUAAUAAAAAUGUCAAAACAAAAGCUAAAUGGAAGAAGUUCAGGAUUUAUUUCGUUAUUUCAUUUAAAAACUUGUACUUUCGUAGUAAUGGCAGUCAACAUAGUUUUGAAAUUAACCUGGAGAUAUGGUUAAGAAUCAGGAGAGUUUGGGGCUCGAGAGCAUUUAUCCUAAUGAAAGACUCACCCUCCUGUAAAAUGUGGUAACAAAUAAAUCCACUUACCGCUCGGAGGAUCAAAAUUCCGCGGAGAUACCAAACAUCAACGAAAUCUGUCGAAAAUCGAACAAAAAACGAAAUGUCUUAUAACAGAAAAGUCCUAUCAGCUUAGAAGAUCCGACCGAAAGAUACAGAACACAACCCUUCUUGAAGAUCCAACCGAAAGAUACAGAACACAACCCUCCUUGAAGAUCCAACCGAAAUAUAUAGAACACAAUCCUUCUUGAAGAUCCAACUGAAAGAUACAGAACACAACCCGUGUUUAAUUUACAGUUUUUUCUUCAUUUAUCUUUACAAAAUAAACUAAUUAUUAAGCAAUAAACAUCU